rnacentral:rRNA from 1 species
UACGUAGGGGGCUAGCGUUGUCCGGAUUUAUUGGGCGUAAAGAGCGUGUAGGCGGCCGGGUAAGUCCGGUGUGAAAACUCGAGGCUCAACCUCGAGCUGUCGGUGGAAACUGUCUGGCUAGAGUCCGGAAGAGGAGAGUGGAAUUCCUGGUGUAGCGGUGAAAUGCGCAGAUAUCAGGAAGAACACCUAUGGCGAAGGCAGCUCUCUGGGACGGUACUGACGCUGAGACGCGAAAGCGUGGGGAGCGAACAGG